rnacentral:rRNA from 1 species
AUGGACGAGGGGCUGGUGUCCGUGGACAAGUUCAGCGGCGGCAGCCAGGCCUACUUCCUCACGCACCUCCACCAGGACCACACCCGGGGCCUCGGCGCGGCGGCCGGCUGGCGCCACGGCCCGCUCUACUGCUCCCCCGUCACGGCGCGCCUCCUCCCCACCCGCUUCCCGGGGGUCGACGCCUCCCUCCUCCGCCCCAUCGCCGCCGGAGCCUCCGCCUCGCUCACCCUCACCUCCCCAAUCUCCGGGCGCACCGUCUCCCUCCACGUCACCGCCCUCCCCGCCAUCCACUGCCCCGGCUCGCUCAUGUUCCUCUUCCGCGGCGACCUCGGGUGCAGGCUGUACACCGGGGAUUUCCGGUGGGAGUUGGGGUGCGACAAGGCGCGGGCCGCGAAGAAGGCGCUCCUCGACGCGCUCGCCGGGGACACCGUCGACGUGCUCUACUUGGACAACACCUACUGCCACCCGUCGCUCAACUUCCCCCCGCGCCGCGUCGUCGCUCAGCAGAUAGUUGACCUUAUUUGUGCUCAUCCUGAUCAUGAAGUUAUUCUUGGCAUUGACACUCUUGGCAAAGAAGACCUCUUGCUUUAUAUAGCCAGAGCACUACAAACGAAGAUUUGGGUCUGGCCCCAGCGCCUACUGACAAUGCACCUUCUAGGCAUUGAUGACAAUCGAGAGAUCUUCACCACCCAGACCAGCUUGACGAGGGUCCGGGCUGUUCCAAGGUACGGCCUGAGCAUCGAGAGUCUUGAAGCUUUGAACACAGUAUGUCCAACUAUAGGAAUCAUGCCUUCAGGCAACACUUGGCUAUGGAGAAACUGUGAGGGAAAGGCUAAGUUCAGUGGUAAAGCAGCAGCAAAGUCUACCAGAUGCAAAGGGCGAGGGCGGGGCGCAGGCACAAUAGAGAUGAACUAUGAUCCCUCGUCACCACCAAAGCUAUUUGAGAAGGAUUCCUACACUCUGCCAUACACCGACCAUGCUUGUUUCGCAGAGUUAGAGGAUUUUAUGCAAACAGUGCGCCCGUCAACGGUCGUAGGGAUUGUCAGCUCAUCAUACUGUUAUGUGAAUCCUCGUGGUCACUUCGCCCAUCUCUGCGGAGACGAAGCGUGCUCUGACAAGACGCCUGUGAAGAACGGCGGGCAAGCUGGAAACUCGACGCCCGUGAAGAACGGCAGGCAUGCUGGAAACUCGACGCCUAAGAGAAGACCGAGUGCUUCGAAGGCCCCGAGGAGAAGGAUGGUCAAGAUCGCCAGUCCAACAGUGUACAGAAGCAGAGCUAUAAUGAUGAAAAGGAGGUAUUCCUGUGGUGCAAAGAUUGAAGAACCCGAAGAACCCAUCCCUGUCUCUUGA